AGCAGCCGCGGUAAUUCCAGCUCCAAUAGCGUAUAUUAAAGUUGUUGCAGUUAAAAAGCUCGUAGUUGAAUUUCGGGGUUAGCAGGUCGGUCGUGCCAUCGGUAUGAACUGGUCUCGCUGAUCCCUCCCUCUUGACGAACUGUGAUGCCAUUAAUUUGGUGUCGCAGGGAAUCAGGACUGUUACUUUGAAAAAUUAGAGUGUUUAAAGCAGGCUCACGCUUGAAUACAUUAGCAUGGAAUAAUGAAAUAGGACGUUUGAUCCUAUUUUGUUGGCUUCUAGGAUUGACGUAAUGAUUAAUAGGGAUAGUUGGGGGCAUUAGUAUUCAAUUGUCAGAGGUGAAAUUCUUGGAUUUAUUGAAGACUAACUACUGCGAAAGCAUUUGCCAAGGAUGUUUCCAUUAAUCAAGAACGAAAGUUAGGGGAUCGAAGACGAUCAGAUACCGUCGUAGU
rnacentral:rRNA from 1 species